UACGUAGGGGGCAAGCGUUAUCCGGAUUUACUGGGUGUAAAGGGAGCGUAGACGGCGCUGCAAGUCCGGAGUGAAAGCCCAUGGCUUAACCAUGGUACUGCUUUGGAAACUGUAUAGCUGGAGUGCAGGAGAGGUAAGUGGAAUUCCUAGUGUAGCGGUGAAAUGCGUAGAUAUUAGGAGGAACACCAGUGGCGAAGGCGGUUUACUGGACUGUAACUGACGUUGAGGCUCGAAAGCGUGGGGAGCAAACAGG
rnacentral:rRNA from 1 species